rnacentral:rRNA from 1 species
UGGGGAAUCUUCCGCAAUGGACGAAAGUCUGACGGAGCAACGCCGCGUGAGUGAUGACGGCCUUCGGGUUGUAAAGCUCUGUUAAUCGGGACGAAUGGUUCUUGUGCAAAUAGUGCGAGGAUUUGACGGUACCGGAAUAGAAAGCCACGGCUAACUACGUGCCAGCAGCCGCGGUAAUACGUAGGUGGCAAGCGUUGUCCGGAAUUAUUGGGCGUAAAGCGCGCGCAGGCGGAUUGGUCAGUCUGUCUUAAAGUUCGGGGCUUAACCCCGUGAUGGGAUGGAAACUGCCAAUCUAGAGUAUCGGAGAGGAAAGUGGAAUUCCUAGUGUAGCGGUGAAAUGCGUAGAUAUUAGGAAGAACACCAGUGGCGAAGGCGACUUUCUGGACGAAAACUGACGCUGAGGCGCGAAAGCCAGGGGAGCGAACGGG